AGUGAACGCUGGCGGUAGGCCUAACACAUGCAAGUCGAACGGCAGCACAGUAAGAGCUUGCUCUUACGGGUGGCGAGUGGCGGACGGGUGAGGAAUACAUCGGAAUCUACUUUUUCGUGGGGGAUAACGUAGGGAAACUUACGCUCAUACCGCAUACGACCUACGGGUGAAAGCAGGGGAUCUUCGGACCUUGCGCGAUUGAAUGAGCCGAUGUCGGAUUAGCUAGUUGGCGGGGUAAAGGCCCACCAAGGCGACGAUCCGUAGCUGGUCUGAGAGGAUGAUCAGCCGCACUGGAACUGAGACACGGUCCAGACUCCUACGGGAGGGAGCAGUGGGGAAUAUUGGACAAUGGGCGCAAGCAUGAUCCAGCCAUACCGCGUGGGUGAAGAAGGCCUUCGGGUUGUAAAGCCCUUUUGUUGGGAAAGAAAAGCAGCAGGUUAAUACCCCGCUGUUCUGACGGUACCCAAAGAAUAAGCACCGGCUAACUUCGUG
rnacentral:rRNA from 1 species